AUUGAACGCUGGCGGCAGGCCUAACACAUGCAAGUCGAACGGUAGCACAGAGAGCUUGCUCUCGGGUGACGAGUGGCGGACGGGUGAGUAACGUCUGGGAAACUGCCCGAUGGAGGGGGAUAACUACUGGAAACGGUAGCUAAUACCGCAUAACGUCGCAAGACCAAAGUGGGGGACCUUCGGGCCUCACACCAUCGGAUGUGCCCAGAUGGGAUAGCUAGUAGGUGGGGUAAUGGCCCACCUAGGCGACGAUCCCUAGCUGGUCUGAGAGGAUGACCAGCCACACUGGAACUGAGACACGGUCCAGACGCCGACGGGAGGCAGCAGUGGGGAAUAUUGCACAAUGGGCGCAAGCCUGAUGCAGCCAUGCCGCGUGUAUGAAGAAGGCCUUCGGGUUGUAAAGUACUUUCAGCGGGGAGGAAGGCGGUGAAGUUAAUAACUUCACCGAUUGACGUUACCCGCAGAAGAAGCACCGGCUAACUCCGUGCCAGCCGCCGCGGUAA
rnacentral:rRNA from 1 species